AGCGUCCGAGCCGCAUCAAAAUUCUAACUUUCUUCCCCAUCGAGUGAGCCCAAGCAUUCAAGUCCAGCCGGUCCAUGCGAUCACGGGAGACCCCAGCCCAUUCCAAGCUUGACGCGAUGAAGCCAUCCACAGCGCAUCCAGCUUCCACGCCAUCAACGCGAUCUAUGCAGCGUCCCAGAUUUCCUUCGAUCCCAGGCGCCCGUUCGAAUGCAGCCCAGCACUCCAUCCGCCCGUGAAGCCAGCCCCUCUCCCGUGAUCCAAGCCUCCCACGGCCGCUCGUCCCAGCUCCAUCCCGGCUCCUCCGCCGCCCAGCAGCCCGAGUAUGCCGCCAUCAGCAGCCGUCCCCGCCUUCCACGCAAUCGUCCAUCGCGUUCGCUGGCAAAGCCGCGUCCCAGCUGCAAGGCAUCUCCAAAUCCUCCGCAAUCCCAGCCUCCCAGCAUCCGUUUCUCCUCCCAACGGUCUCACAGCGCCCCUCGUCCGUAUUCAUCCGCAUCAUCUCUCUUCCACGAUUCCCUCCUUCC
rnacentral:lncRNA from 1 species